CUGGCAACAAGAAGAAGAUUAUCCACAUCAAAAUGUCAAAAGCAUAAACCACACCACUGCAGGAGCUGAUGGAGAGACGUUUGACAUGACACACGUUUGACAUACGGCGACGCUGCAACGAGUCGUUUGAGGUGUUUUGAGCGACGCGUGUGAUUCAAGAGCGCAGGAACAUCGCUGGAAGACGACGAGCUCCACCACAGAAAACGGCGAAAGCAUUAAGCAACUUGUGUAUGAUGAUCUUCGGAGAACAAUCCACAUGAUCUCACUUCCGCCCCAUAUUCAGGACAAUGCACGCAGAUUUCACAGUAACGUGGAUGAACUCACAGAAAGCACUUUUAUUUCUUGACAUUUCUAAUGAGUCUGUGUUUAAAAAGCGCAGAAAAUAAAUACAGAUAAUAAGACGUUCGCAGCAUUUCGAGGAGAUAAUGGUGUUGCUGAAGGCCUCAGCUGAAAAUUACUUCAUGAACGGAUUAAGAAAUGAG